GACGAACGCUUUCGGCGUGCUUAACACAUGCAAGUCGAACGGAAAGGCCCUGCUUUUGUGGGGUGCUCGAGUGGCGAACGGGUGAGUAACACGUGAGUAACCUGCCCUUGACUUUGGGAUAACUUCAGGAAACUGGGGCUAAUACCGGAUAGGAGCUCCUGCUGCAUGGUGGGGGUUGGAAAGUUUCGGCGGUUGGGGAUGGACUCGCGGCUUAUCAGCUUGUUGGUGGGGUAGUGGCUUACCAAGGCUUUGACGGGUAGCCGGCCUGAGAGGGUGACCGGCCACAUUGGGACUGAGAUACGGCCCAGACUCCUACGGGAGGCAGCAGUGGGGAGUAUUGCACAAUGGGCGGAAGCCUGAUGCAGCAACGCCGCGUGCGGGAUGACGGCCUUCGGGUUGUAAACCGCUUUCGCCUGUGACGAAGCGUGAGUGACGGUAAUGGGUAAAGAAGCACCGGCUAACUACGUGCCAGCAGCCGCGGUGAUACGUAGGGUGCGAGCGUUGUCCGGAUUUAUUGGGCGUAAAGGGCUCGUAGGUGGUUGAUCGCGUCGGAAGUGUAAUCUUGGGGCUUAACCCUGAGCGUGCUUUCGAUACGGGUUGACUUGAGGAAGGUAGGGGAGAAUGGAAUUCCUGGUGGAGCGGUGGAAUGCGCAGAUAUCAGGAGGAACACCAGUGGCGAAGGCGGUUCUCUGGGCCUUUCCUGACGCUGAGGAGCGAAAGCGUGGGGAGCGAACAGGCUUAGAUACCCUGGUAGUCCACGCUGUAAACGGUGGGUACUAGGUGUGGGGUCCAUUUCACGGGUUCCGUGCCGUAGCUAACGCUUUAAGUACCCCGCCUGGGGAGUACGGCCGCAAGGCUAAAACUCAAAGGAAUUGACGGGGCCCCGCACAAGCGGCGGAGCAUGCGGAUUAAUUCGAUGCAACGCGUAGAACCUUACCUGGGUUUGACAUGGAUCGGGAGUGCUCAGAGAUGGGUGUGCCUCUUUUGGGGUCGGUUCACAGGUGGUGCAUGCCUGUCGUCAGCUCAUGUCGUGAGAUGUUGGGUUAAGUCCCGCAACGAGCGCAACCCUUGUUCACUGUUGCCAGCACGUUAUGGUGGGGACUCAGUGGAGACCGCCGGGGUCAACUCGGAGGAAGGUGGGGAUGACGUCAAGUCAUCAUGCCCCUUAUGUCCAGGGCUUCACGCAUGCUACAAUGGCUGGUACAGAGAGUGGCGAGCCUGUGAGGGUGAGCGAAUCUCGGAAAGCCGGUCUCAGUUCGGAUUGGGGUCUGCAACUCGACCUCAUGAAGUCGGAGUCGCUAGUAAUCGCAGAUCAGCAACGCUGCGGUGAAUACGUUCCCGGG
rnacentral:rRNA from 1 species